AGUUGCGCCUGUUGCCAAUGUGUGUGGCUUGCUCUCCUUCCUGGUCGAGACUUGCCUCGCAGGAGCUGCUUAUAGCUCCUCACAGCUUCUGAUUUUAAAAAAACAACAACAAAGGAUUCCAAAUUGCUCCUUCUCCAUGGCAGUGCACCGCACAAUUGAGGAUUAAAGUGCCCCGGAGUGUGGUGCAACGUACCCCUUUUCUUUGCAAAUGGCUUGCUGUCUGAAGGACGAGCUCCUGUGUUCCAUCUGCCUCAGCAUCUAUCAGGAUCCGGUCAGCUUCGGGUGCGAGCACUACUUCUGCCGCAAGUGCAUCACCGAGCACUGGAGUCGGCAGGAGCCGCACGGCAUGCGCGACUGCCCCGAGUGCCGGCGCACCUUUCCAGACCCGCUACUGUCGCCCAGCCUCAAGCUGUCCAACAUCGUGGAGCGCUACUCGGCGUUCCCGCUCGACGCCAUCCUAAACGCCCAGCGCAGCUCGUACCCCUGCAAGGACCACGAGAAGGUCAAGCUCUUCUGCCUCACCGACAAGAGCCUUGUGUGCUUCUUCUGCGACGAGCCGGCGCUCCACGAGCAACACCAGGUCACCACCAUCGACGAGGCCUACGAGGAGAUCCAGAGGGAGAUGAAGGAGCAGCUGGCCACCCUGCAGGACAGCGAGAAGGGUCACACUGAGGCCCUGCAGCUCUUGCAGAGACAACUCACUGAGACUAAGUCCUCAGCCAAAGGUCUGCGUGCCACCAUUGGCGACGCCUUUGAGCGCCUCCACCGCUUCCUGCGUGAGCGUCAGAAGAGCAUGCUGGAAGAACUGGAGAUGGACACGGCGCGCAAGCUCACCGACAUUGAGCACAAGAUUCAACGCUAUAGCCAGCAGCUGCACGACGUCAAGGAAGGCAUCCAAAUCCUGCAGGAGCGCCUUAACGAGACGGGCCGGCACGACUUUCUGGAGGGGGUGGCAGUCACAUCCGAGAGGAUUAAAGGGAAGAUCCACGAGACCAAUCUGACGUAUGAGGAUUUCCCGACAUCCAAGUACAUGGGGCCUUUGCAAUACACCAUCUGGAAGUCGCUCUUCCAGGAUAUUUCUCCAGUGCCUGCCGCCUUGACGCUGGACCCCAUCACGGCCCACCAAAGACUGAUCCUGUCUGACGACUGUACCAUCGUCGCCUACGGAAACCUCCACCCGCAGCCGCUACAGGACUCUCCACGGCGUUUUGACGUGGAAGUGUCUGUCCUUGGCGCAGAGGGCUUCGCGUCCGGCGUGCAUUACUGGGAGGUGAUGGUGUCGGAGAAGACGCAGUGGAUGAUCGGCGUGGCGAGCGAGACAGUGAGCCGCAAGGGCAGCAUCCAGAUCCAACCAGGCCGCGGCUUCUACUGCAUCGUCAUGCAUGACGGCAACCAGUACAGCGCCUGCACUGAGCCCUGGACCCGUCUCAAUGUCAAGAGCAAGCUGGAGAAGGUGGGUGUGUACCUGGACUACCCCAAAGGCCUGCUCAUCUUCUACAAUGCAGACGACAUGUCCUGGCUAUACACCUACCGUGAGAAAUUCCCAAUGAAGGUCUUCCCUUACUUCAGUCCAGGUCAGAGCCACGCCAACGGCAAGAACGUGCAGCCUCUGCGCAUUAACACCGUGCGCCUUUAAGAGAUCCGCGUGGCCGUCCUCACUUUGAUUAAUCGUAUGCGGGUUUCAAAAUAAGUUCAAGAAAUUAGUUUAAAAUGUUACGUAUGAGGUGUUUAUCUGUUCUGUUAAGAUUCCAUUUGACGUCCAUCACAAAUUGGAGGAAAAGGGGUCUUAACUGGAGGUGAAAUGGGGCUGCAAUCAUUUAUUUUCUACCUCUCAUCCUGUUCAGGCUGGCAGGGAACCUGGAGUCUAUCCUAGCUGAGUUUGGCCAAAAGACACCUUGAAUUUGUCACCAGUUAAACGCAGGGAGCUAUGCUUUGUUUUUCCCAUCUGAAACCUUACUGAUCUCUGAUUUGCGCUAAUGGCCACUGAAGAGGACCCAAACGACCCAAAGGCAGAGUGUUGUUUCUGGGGGUAAAAUCGGGCUGCAAUCAUCCAUUUUCUGCUACUUAUCCCGUCCAAGGUGGCGGGGAAGCUGGACUCUAUCCCAGCUGACUUAGGCCGAAACUCGGACUACACCCUAGAUUAGUCGUCGCUCAAAUGCAAGUGUUCUGCUUUGUUUUGGGUUUCCCGAUAGAAACUCACUGAUGUCUGACUUGUAAUGGCAGCCACUGAAGAUAACGCAAAAUGGAGAGAAAGGGGAUGAACAUGAAGGUGAAAGCGGGCUGCGAUCGUCCAUUUUGAACCGCUUAUGUUGUAUAAGUGUGAUUGGAAAGCUGGCGUCGAUCACAGCUGACUUUGGCUGAAAUGGGCACAGAACGCUAGAUUAGUUGUCAGUCAAUCGCAAGGUGCUCUGCUUUGUUUUGACUUUGUCCUUGGUGGAACCUUACUGGGGGCCGCAAAAUGGGCACAGACAUGUCCCUCGAGGUGAAAUGGGGCUGUGACCAUCCAUUAAUGAUUGCUUAUCGUAUUCAGGGUGUCAGGAAAGCUUGAGUCUAUCCCAACUGACUUGAAAGGCAGACUACACCUUGGAUCGGUUGCCAGUCGAGGGCAAGGCUUUUUGCAUCGUUUUUCUCUGUGGAACCUCACUUAUGUCGCCCACAGUCUCUGUCUGUACUUUUGUGUCCUUCCCCCCACCCCGUAGGUGUCCAUAUGGGAAAACGAUGCUGCUAUUGACAGAGAAAGGACUCACGAAUGUCUAUAUACAGUAUACGCCGUGACAUGAAUUUAAACACACGUGACUGCGAUAAAUUCACAUACAGGGGGUCCUCAGUUUACAAUGGUGUUCCGUUCCUACGCCUGCGGCCUAACCCCAGUUUGUAUGAACCCGCAGUAGUCAAUCACUUACCUACGCUAACUCAGUAGUGAAGUCCUAAUUACAGAAAAUAGUUGUAUGGAAAAAAAAAUCUUGACCAUAAAUAUAUAAAUAAAGCAAUUAAAUGAAAAACACUAAGUACAGUGGUAAAUGAACGUGCCUUUUUACUCCAACUAGUUUGUUGUGUGAAGUUCAUCACUUCGAAACAUGGUUUGUCGUGACCGUCAUAAACCGAGGAUUCCUUGUACAGCACAGUGGGGGGGAAAAAGUCCGUUCUGUGACGCUGUUGACUUCCAAGGUUUUCUCAUUUUAAACCUUAAAUUCCCUGGAGGUCAAUAGUAUAAAGCCAACUGAUUUGUUCCAGUAUCAAAUGCGUGUCACACCCACUAUAAAACUACACAGAGGUCACGGGAACACCUAAUGGUGUUUUAUAGUUUCAGCCUUGUGACAUUUAAUGAGUUGUAUUGCUCAUAUGACCCCUUCCUAUGUCGCGGUGAGUUCUGUUUCCAGUUCUGUGGUUCAAGAGGUUCUUCCCCAAUGGUUUUUGAUGUAGCUAUAUUAAAACACGUCUCCUCCGGGGUGAUAUUAAAUCAUAGGCUAGUGGCGCUAAUCCGUUUGACAAAAUCACAGAUGAUUCCGUCAUGUUCAUUGGCCCCACGUGCUCCAAGCACUCAGCCUAAUCGGCACAUGUGUACACGAGUCCUAAGAGCUUCUUGUCCUGUGGCCAAAUCCAGCAUGCUGAGAGAUUUCUGUGUGUGUUGGUAGGAGGGGGGGGGGGGGGGUUAAUCCAGCGUAGUUCGUCCUUCAUUAAACCCAUCUGUACCUUCUUUUGGGAUCCAACGGAACAAACCGUGCCCUCAGCCGUCCUUUGUGUGUCAGCUAACCAGCGUCGUGACUCGGCAGACUUCACAAGACUUCUGAGGAUUCCGGCCUGGAUCAUAGUGAGCUGUUUUACCCAAUGACACAAACGUCAAGGAAAAAGCAGAGGAUUAUGAGGGAUUAUACCGUUUUAGGAUGCAUCCUCUGUCGACCGUGUCUCUAGUGCAUGUGAGCAAAUUGCAUGGAAAUCCAUUUUAUAGUUUAUUAAAUGAGUGACGAUAUGUACUUUUAAGAACGUAUCCGUGUCUGAAUGCAUACUCGGGAGAAUUUUUACAAAUGCUUAUUUUUCCUCGUGAGGACCUAUUGUGUAUCCUAUUGGUGAAUCCUUGUCAGGACAAUUUUUUCUUAGAUUGCGUAUUUGUCAGAUUUUAUUGAGGGCGUUCAUUGUCAAGGUAUAUGUAUAUCUAUGUAAGAUAAAAAUUCCUGGAAAUGAAAGAUCCUUGUGAGAACGUACUUGUUAGAACAUGUUCUUGUCAGUGUACACUUGUGAGGGUAUUUACUUGUGAAAAGCAACUUUGUGAGAACUUGGAACAAUGUAUUCUUGUUGGGGUGUAUACUUACAUAUUUGUAAGACUAUCCUUUUCAAAAUGUACAUGUACUUGUUGGGAUGCAUCCUUGUCAGGAUGUGCUUGGGGGGUAUCUUUGAGAAUAUGUAAGGGUGUACUUGUCAGGGUGCAUGAUUCAUUCAGCCAAGUAGCCCUAGGGGUGCCAUUAUUUUUUAGCAUGAUUCUACGUAUUCUAUAUUCAUAUGUUUCAGUGACAGGGCACAAGCUUUUACAUAGUAUGCAGUGUUCCUAUAUAUUGUGUGCCCCUCGCUAGAGUAGCUUUAUAACACGCUGCACAGAAAGUCUUUGCCGUGUCUGUUGGCUUGUCAUACAGGCAAAAGUACAGACGACAGUACUGAAAAGUACUGCGUGGGUCUUCUUUUCCUACUGCCCAGUGCAUAAUAACCAUAAUAGUGUCGUAGCUAUAUACAAGGAAAUCUUCACCUCUUGUCUGCGCCUCUUCGCCGCUGCACCGUGGCGGCUGCGAGAUUUAAUUUUCUAACUGGCCGCCGAUGGGAGUAGGAAAAAUAGUUGGGACCGCAGCUGGUUUCAGCCUCUGCCUGACUACACCUGUGUAUCCAAUGCUUUCUGGUAAGUCUUUCUCAAAACACGCCGGUUCAAAGUGAUCAGCACGGAGUUCGGAAUGCUUGCUAGGCACCCAUAGCUGACCACGUGUCUUCCCCUGUCGAUUGACUUUCCCUAUCCACUGGUCACAUAUUCCUUUUUCAUUUGGAAAGCCAAAAAAAAGACUUUUGCCACUGCCUAAACCAUUUCUACAACCAGAUGCCACACAAUAAACCAUCGUGAAAUGGCUAAAUCACACGACAACAAAUAUACAAGGACGGGAACAACAGCGUGGAGCAAUAGCACAUAAUGCCGAAUGAACAGGCUGUUUGACUCGUGUGACGUCACAGCGCCGGAGAGCAAAAACCGAAAGGCACUGGAUGCAAAAAGCUGAAUCAUAUUUAUCAAUUUAACGGCUGUAUAUCUGCUGUGUAAUCACGUCGAAAUGCCAGAUGUGGUUUGUAAAGGGGUUCAAGAACAUUUUCAACAUCUUUGUCCUCUGACCUUUAAGGUUGAAUCUUAGUUCAAAUUUAAGGGUGCAUCUUUUACUAGGUGCAUCUCUAUACGGCUGCUUCCUUUCGGAAGUGUAUUCUGAACUUGUCAAGGUUGAACUGUAUACUUUUGGUGAAUCCUUUAAAGCAUGUAUGUAUCCUUGUUAGGGUUUAUAUGUUGCAGCGGAUACAUCCUUAGACAAUACCUGUGAACAUAAUAUUGAGAAUGUGCACUUGGUAGAACGAAUCAUUGCCAACCAGACAUAGAAGUGUCUUAUUUGUCAGGACACAUACUUGAAGGGUCUUUUGACGAAGAAUCAUUGUAAGGAUGUAUAGUUAUGAGGGGAUACUAAUGAGGACGUACUUCGUGCGAUUUGUGCGUAGAAGAGUGUACAGUAUCCUUGUCAGGAUACUUGUGAGGGUGUACUUUACAAUCCUUGAGGAUUGGUUAUUGCGAGACAUAUCAUUUGAGGCUUCACUUUUUAGAUGAGAUGAUCUUGUUGCCUUAUUUCACACUUGAAUGCAAUGCAGUCUUGCGGCAAUAUUAUGAUUAAAACUCAACCAGCUGUUCAUCCUCA